GACGAACGCUGGCGGCGUGCUUAACACAUGCAAGUCGAACGGAAAGGCCCUGCUUUUGUGGGGUGCUCGAGUGGCGAACGGGUGAGUAACACGUGAGUAACCUGCCCUUGACUUUGGGAUAACUUCAGGAAACUGGGGCUAAUACCGGAUAGGAGCUCCUGCUGCAUGGUGGGGGUUGGAAAGAUUCGGCGGUUGGGGAUGGACUCGCGGCUUAUCAGCUUGUUGGUGGGGUAGUGGCUUACCAAGGCUUUGACGGGUAGCCGGCCUGGGAGGGUGACCGGCCACAUUGGGACUGAGAUACGGCCCAGACUCCUACGGGAGGCAGCAGUGGGGGAUAUUGCACAAUGGGCGGAAGCCGGAUGCAGCAACGCCGCGUGCGGGAUGACGGCCGUCGGGUUGUAAACCGCUUUCGCCUGUGACGAAGCGUGAGUGACGGUAAUGGGUAAAGAAGCACCGGCUAACUACGUG
rnacentral:rRNA from 1 species